AUAUCUUUCUCGGCCUUGUGGCUAAGAUCAAGUGUAACAUCUGUUCUUAUCAGCUUAGUAUCUAAUAUGUGAAUUGUCGGUUCACACAUGAUAUUAACUCAAUUAUCAAAAGGGGAAGACCACCCCUC
rnacentral:snRNA from 2 species